rnacentral:lncRNA from 1 species
UGCAUUUUGUUGUUAAAAAGCAAAUCUCAGUGAUAGCUGAUGAGGCUCUUGCUGUGUAUGACAAGCACAGUGUCCUGAGAAUCCUGGACCAUAGCUAUUAACUGUAUGGUCUUGGAAACAUUCGGUAGCCAUUCUCUGCUGCAGGGAUUGCAUCUAUAAAGGAUGGAUAAGAGUCAGUGAGAAUAUUCACCCGAGGUUCUUAGUAGAGGGUCUGCUGUGUACUAAGUACUUAAUAAGCCUCAGCCAUUUUCUUUGGCAUGGUUCUACAAUGAGUGGCAAGCCAUGGCUGCUUUCCUAACAGGAUUGGUCAUGAGGAUACUGAUAGCUCACAAACCUCAGGAGCUCUCUCUGAGGAACCUGCAUUGCUUUCCAGCAAGCUGCCUCUUCAGGGCAGUCAAGAAAGAUAUGGGAUCUGGGCAUGGUGGAGCAUGCCUAUAAUCCCAGCAACUCAUAAAGCUGAGGCAAGAGGCCGCCAUGAGUUCAAGGAUAGUCUACACGACAAUAUGACUCAGUCUCAGACAAGGGGGAAAGCAAGAAAAGACAUGGGGAGGUGAUCCUAUGCAGUCUGUCUUUGUGUUACCUGCAUCAGUGUACUUAUGCCCUGCUCGUACCCAACAUGAAGAUCUAACUGGAAAAAAAAAUAACACCUCGGGGAAAGAAAAUAACCCAGGGAAUGGUUUUCGUAUGAUUUUACUUAAAACCUCUGCCUAAUAGAUUUUACGUAUAUUUAUUUGAAAAACAAACAUUUAAGCUCUUUUACUGUUAUAUAAUAUGCAUAAUAAACCCAUGCAAAAAACAAAUAAGGGGUAAGAAGAGGAAGAAUCUGGUAACAGGCUUAAGCAUUUUAGGGUAACUGUCAGUCUUGACCGUUUAAAUAUUUGGUCUGAUCCAUGGUUGGGCUGCCUUGUUUUGUGGCCGGCUCAAGUUUUCAACUGGGAGGAUGCAGAGUCUCCCCUGCCAUUCUUCUGUAUAUGGUUUCUGCCCACAGUUUCUUCAUGGUCUUACAUGGAAGGAUCUUUGAAGGAACUGUUUUAAGCCCUUUAUUCAUGAUGAAGGUUUGGGUUAUAUAAUCUGCUGCUACCUAAUGGAGCCAGACAGACGGCCACACAUCCCAGGCUGUGCUCUUUGGAGAUGGCCACCAGAAAUCCAUCUUGGACUCAUCCUUUUUCAGAUGCCUAGGGCAACUGCUGACCUAGGACCAACUGAAGGUGUUACAGCCAAUGAUUAUAUUUAUCAUUAGUGCAUAAUUUUAUAUUUUUUGAUAGCAAAACAAAUGCAAUGGCGGGGGGCAGGAAUAACUAAUCUAAUACAGGUCUGGUAUUUCAUGAUUUGAGCAGUACUAUGCUAGACUGAGAUGUCAUUCAAAUUCCUGCCAUUUCUCUAACUUGUAUUCUCUGGCAAAAUGAAGGUAAGUGGGACAUUAUUUCUGUAUCUUGCUUUAUUCUAUUUACAUAUGGUGGAGUCAUUUGUUACUGUUUAUGAAUUAUCCAUGUUUUCUUAUUUGAACUCUCUAUCUCUUGCUCUCAAAGGCAGGUCUGAUUCUAUUUAUUCUAAAGACAGAGUUGGAGAUGGGCUACCAUUGGUGUUGAUUGAGAUGACAAGCAGUCACCUGAGCCCAUACAGCUGGUAAGUAGAACAGUACUGGAGAGAUGGCUCAGCAGUUAAGAGCACUGACUGCUCUUCCAGAGAUCCUGAGUUCAAUUCCCAGCAACCACAUGGUGGCUCACAAACAUCUGUAAUGAGAUCAGGUGCCCUCUUCUGGUGCCUUUGAAGACAAAGACAGUGUAGUGUCAUAUAUAUAAAAUAAAUAAAUCUUUAGAAAUUUGAAAAUAAUUUUAUGCUGUUUCAUUACAUUAACCAUUUUUUAAAAUAAUAGCCAGAAUGAAUGGAGUAAAGAAGUGGGGAUUCCUAGGGAUGCUGGGAAGGAAUUAAAAGAAACCACAUACAUUCAAAUAUGCAACAAUACUAGAUCAAUGGUGUAGUCCUUGUCUAGCGUGCACAAGAUCCUGGGUUCAGUCCCUAGAACAAAGCCAAAACCAGCAGGAAGUCAAACAGCUUAAAGGGAGAGAACUCACACACAUUGAGCACACAUUGUAUCCUACAUUCUUUACAUGCAUUAUCCUCUUUGCUUGUUUGUUUGUCUUUUGGUUUUUCAAAUCACAGUUUCUCUGUGUAGCUCUGACUCCUGGAACUAGCUCUGUAGAGUAGGCUGGCCUGGAACUCACAGUGAUCUGCCUGCCUCUGCCUCCUGAGUGCUGGGGUUAAAGGCGCUCACCACCAUUACCUGGGCAUAUUAUCUUUUUAAUAUGUAUAGUGCUUGACAUGCAGGAGCAGAUUUCACACAGAAGGCAAUUGAGGUCCAGAGAUGUUAAGUAACUUGUCCAAAUACAUUAUUAUUAGCAUGUGGAAUUUAAAAUAAAAGUAGCUGAUAUUAAAAAUGCAUGUCCAAGUGCUGCGAACAAAACACCACAAAUUGAGUAUGAAAUACUUCUUGCAAAUUUUUACUCUAAAUUUGAUCUCUGGAUUUGGCUAAAAACUAACCCACAACAAAAUAGAAUACUAAUAAAUACGAAAAGAACUUGGAUUGCUCAUGCUACACAAGUGGGAAUUUGAGCUCUGAUACUGUCUGGUGUUUAGUUUAGUGGUUUCUUAAAAUACAAAACAGAACAAAACACCAAUCCCCCCAAAAUAAAACAAAAU